AGUUUCAUCUAUUUUGCUUGUUUGUUUUCUAGUGCAAAAUUGACUCUUCCCAGCAAAUAUAGCACAUCUCAAUAGCAAUGGCAUGUGCUUAUUUAAUUUCUAGAAGGCUUGCUUCAGUGAACCCCUCACUCCAGCCAUCCCUGCAGGAAAAGGAGACUUACGGCAAAGAACCUAUGAGAAUCCUCCAUACUUUAAGCUGUUUGAACUGGAGCCAACUCCUACUUCUCCAUCAACAUGCUCCCUUUGGUUGUUUCCCAUUGCUUAUAGAGAAGACUGGGGAGAGUGACACCAGUCAGCUUGAAAAUUCCAUGGCAUCUCUUGAUAUGACCAUCAGGGCUGGCUUCCUGUCUUUGUUUUCCAGAAGAUUUCCACAAUAGCACUGGCAAUCUCCACUCACAGCCAGGUUGCCACACCUGUGAUAAUUGAGGCAAGUGAAAAGACUCUUGGGUAUUCAUCUCUUGACCCAACCUCUCAGGAUCCCUCCCUUCCUGCUCCACAGCAUAUCCCUCCUCCAUCUUCUCCUCUGCUGGGGCUGCUAACUCAAGCAUCCCCAGAGGAGGCCUCUCUGCCAGCUCCCCAGCACCUUCUCCCUCCUGCCAAGGUUUCUGACUCAGCGUUACAGUGUAGCAUAUGGCAUCCUGGUCAAGAUUACAACUGAAAAUUGCUUCUCCCGGUUUGCCCCUUCAGGGUACCAGAACUGUGAUGGCAGCUGAAAUUGGAUUGCUCACACUAGAGAACAUUUGACUUUACCCAGAAGAGCUCUUUACCUUGGACUAUUAACUUUGCUUGUACAUCAUCAUAUAUAAAUAUGGAAUUAUAUAUAUGCAUGAAUAUUUACAAUAAGCAAUGCUAAUGUUAACAAUAAUACCAUUCUAUCACUACAAUUGCUUUACUUGUAUCUGAUUAUCUAAAUAUCACUAACCUGUUGAAGUUCUACUCUGAAGAACAUAUUCAGAAUGCUUUUUUCUAUGUGUCAACUCUUUCAACUAGUUUUGGAAAGACAAGAUAGGGCAGGACUGGGAGGGUACCCAUGCUGAUGUCAAUUGGGCUUAGCAUGGCUUCUUCGAAGCCGUGCUAAAAGGGGUAGUGUGGCAGUAUUGUGCAGAAGGAAGUGCUUAAUGGAGGAGCCACAUGUCCUGGAUAAGCCAGGAACUGCACAGCCUGUGUGCUACCUACAUGCCACGCAUGGGUGACGUCUUUGAAGUCCUUUCACACCUCAGAGGGCACAACAUGAUACUCAAAAAACCUGCCUAUUGUCUGUGGUAGACGAAAGUCCCAGACAUACAAUAAUUCCAGUGAAGAACACUGAAUUAAAGGACACAUGAUGGGGCCUCACUUCUAUGCCAUCUCUGUGGUAAAUGAGUUUAAAAAUGAAGUCAUUUUGGUGAGGAUGGAAGAGAUGUCAUUGGGACUACUACUGCUGACAGGAAGGUGAAUAGAAGAAGAUGGAGACCCUGUAUCCUGUUAGACCAUCAUGAAGCAAAUAGCUUCAUACAGAAGGGUAAGGUCAAACCCUUUUGGAUCCUAUACUGACAUAACUCCAUCCUUACUGAAAAAUGGUUAACUCUUAGUCAGGCAAGACUACAAUAAAUCUCACCAAUAUCAAAUGGAUUCCCCCAAAUUUCCUGUUAGACACUGUAUUUUCCAAAUUCAUGUUCAUGCCAGUAGGAGGUGAGCUCUUUGGGGGAUGGUUGGGCCUUAUGCCCUCAUGAAUGGGUUGAACCAUUCAUAGACUAAUAGAUUAUUACUAUAAAGAAAUGGCUUUGUUACAGAGCAAACUCAUCUGGCUGAUUGCUGUGCUUCUUGGGACACCCACUGCUAUGGCAUGGCCAGCAAGAUGGCACUCACUCAAUGCCAAGAGACUGCUUCUGCUAUGUUCUUGCACUUCCCAGUACAUGGAAUUUAAUAAACCUCUGUAUGUUAUA